rnacentral:rRNA from 1 species
CAAUAGCGUAUAUUAAAGUUGUUGCAGUUAAAAAGCUCGUAGUCGAACUUCGGGCCUGGCCGGGCGGUCUGCCUAACGGUAUGUACUGUCUGGCCGGGCCUUACCUCUUGGUGAGCCGGCAUGCCCUUCAUUGGGUGUGUCGGUGAACCAGGACUUUUACCUUGAGAAAAUUAGAGUGUUCAAAGCAGGCCUAUGCUCGAAUACAUUAGCAUGGAAUAAUAAAAUAGGACGUGUGGUUCUAUUUUGUUGGUUUCUAGAGUCACCGUAAUGAUUAAUAGGGAUAGUUGGGGGCAUUAGUAUUCAGUUGCUAGAGGUGAAAUUCUUGGAUUUACUGAAGACUAACUUCUGCGAAAGCAUUUGCCAAGGAUGUUUUCAUUG